AUUGAACGCUGGCGGCAGGCCUAACACAUGCAAGUCGAGCGGAUGAAGGGAGCUUGCUCCUGGAUUCAGCGGCGGACGGGUGAGUAAUGCCUAGGAAUCUGCCUGGUAGUGGGGGAUAACGUCCGGAAACGGGCGCUAAUACCGCAUACGUCCUGAGGGAGAAAGUGGGGGAUCUUCGGACCUCGCGCUACCAGAUGAGCCUAGGUCGGAUUAGCUAGUUGGUGGGGUAAAGGCCUACCAAGGCGACGAUCCGUAACUGGUCUGAGAGGAUGAUCAGUCACACUGGAACUGAGACACGGUCCAGACUCCUACGGGAGGCAGCAGUGGGGAAUAUUGGACAAUGGGCGAAAGCCUGAUCCAGCCAUGCCGCGUGUGUGAAGAAGGUCUUCGGAUUGUAAAGCACUUUAAGUUGGGAGGAAGGGCAGUAAGUUAAUACCUUGCUGUUUUGACGUUACCAACAGAAUAAGCACCGGCUAACUUCGUG
rnacentral:rRNA from 1 species